rnacentral:lncRNA from 1 species
AAAAAAAUGGUAUAGCAUAAAACUUGGAAUACUAAAAUGUUGUGUAUCACUUUUGUAUAUACAUUUCAAUUUGAGAGGCAUGUUAGUCAUUUCAUCCAUUAUGACAAUUAUAUGAACAUUAUUCAUCGCCACUGAGGAUAAUACUUUAAAAUUAGGGAUGAAAGUGUUUUUUGGGUUAACCCUCAGGCACUUGGCUGUAAUUUUCCCUCGGAAGAAAACAACUCUUCUCUUUCUUUUAUGUUCUCUACUGAAUCCAUGUCUCCCAAAACUAUUAGUGAUAGGUGUAUUUCACACCUUUAUUUUUCCUUUUUUUCACCAGAAAUUUAAAAGAAAAAGAAUUAAAAGCAUAAUUUAAUCGUGGGUUUGACAUAAUUUUUCCUUCUACUGUUUUAACUUUUCAAUCUAUAGUCCUCCACCGCUCUUUGAUAACAGAUAGAAUUAUUUAUUGAAUUAAAAAUUAGGGUAAUUAGGGUUCAGAGUUUCAGAUUCUUUUUUGUUGCUUCUACUAAAAUGGAAAUCUCUGUACAAAGAUCUGAAACUAUUAGAUUGAUGCAUGUAAUGGAAUUUUAGCUACUACAUCAACCUGUUACCAUAAGUCUAUUAUCAUGGCAUAUUCUUACUUUACAGAGAAAUAUUUCAGGGUUUCUCAAUACCUUUUCUUUCUUCUCCCCAAGAAAAUGCAGACGAUCUUUCUUCAUGUUCAUUUACAAGUAAAAAUGACAGAUUUACAGUUUUGGGAGGCAGCAAUUAGAAUUGCUUUUAUAUCCAGUAAAUUUGAGAAAAGUGAAAGCUGCUACCAUAAGCAAAAUGUCUGGGUUGCACGCAAAGUUCAUGCCCUAUUCCCACAAAUUUCUUCUUAUAUUUUCUCUUAAUACACUUCCAUACAUCAGGGAUUUUCACAGGAUGAUUCUUCUUGCCUGAACAAUUGCCUCUUGAAAUUUUGUUUGCUUUGCAGAAAGAGUCGGCCCAACAAGAGAAUAUAGAUAUAUAAGGUAGGGAAGGAGAGAAUGCUGAAGGAGUACUUAUCACCGCCGCAACUAGUCACUCUCAUGCUUCAACUUAUUCGGCAGCUGAUCCACCGCCAAGCCUCUCAAAUCACUAAUUUCCUUAUCAUUGAACAAGGUGAAAGCAAAAUAAGCUUUUCAAAGAAGAAAGAAAGAAGGAGAAGAAGAAGAAGAAGUAAAAAUGCAUACGUUUCCUUUCUGUUUUCUCUCUAAAACCAGCGUGCUGUAAGCCUUUAUGACUCUAACCCCAUUAAAGAUUGAGAAAGAAAGGGAGAGUUAUUUUCCAUUUUACAUUGCUAAAUUGGCUGUGUCAGCUGUUAGGUAUCAAUACUUCAACUUGCUCCAUGCAUAUCCCUCUGCAGAGAAAAAGUUUGGGGUGGUCCUGUUUCUUGGUGGAUGUAUGUUGUGUAUAUAUUAGGAUGGUCCCUCACCUACAAGGUGUGUAGUCCCUUGAAUAGUCAUCAUAUAUACACAUCAAGAUGGCAAUAUAUAUUGUUUUUGCAGUAUAUCUACACCACAACUUUUAUGUUCUUGGUCUGUCUUAAUUUUCCUUGACUUAUUAGGUGAUUCAUAAUUAAUAUGCAUUUUAAACUUUUUUUUCCAAGAAUUUUGAAUGCCAUUCAAACUAACUUGUAAUCUGACAGUUCUAGAGAGGACUUCAGAAUACCAACUAAUUGAAAAAACUGAUCGGUUCAUCUAGUGAAUGUUCUUGGUCAUUACUGAUGAUUAGCAUACAGUGUCAUCUUAGAAUUAGGGUUCUUUUUUUCUUUUUUCUUGUUUCCUAUGUCAAUUUUUGCUCAAAGCAUGCAUCGUUCGACCAUGUGACAAGGGAUUCAG